GUGUCUCAGACAUGCAAAUAUUGAACAGACACCGUCCGACACUACUAAGCACAAUGAUAAAACACAUUCUGCUCCAUGAAUCUGUCGGAUAUUCGACAAUUAAUUAAGCAUGGAACAAUAACAUUUGUUAAAGAACAAUAAGCCGGAUCAAGUUUUUUGGGUCAGACAACCAACCCAUCGCAGGCUAAGCCAAGCUCUUGCAGACGACAGAGAUUACAAGAACCAAGCUGGAAACAUCUUAUAGCACAGAUGAAGGUUCUACAAUCACCCGCUUCUACUGGAAUCCAUAAAAUGGCACAAAUGUACUGGCAACAGCGAAUGAAAUGUGUCAAACAAACGACGGUCCUCGCCUUAAGGAAGUCCAUUUCCUGAUUAUGGUUCAAUGACCGGGAAUUUAGGGUCCGACUCCAUCAGAACCAGAAGGGAAGUCACGGCAUACCCAGGCCAUCUGUUACCGGAUAGAGAACGCUGGGGCCCAGAAUGUUGAAAAGGCUCUGAUGGGCACAGCCCAGAAUCUGGUUGGACCCAGUCUCGCCCACCCAGUCCAACUCUGUAACUCCUCUGACUCAUUUGAAACCACAAGUAGCUUGAACUAGGACUUCAAUUUUAUGACUUUGGUCAUCAUUAAACUUUUGUUGUUUUUAACAA